UAAAAGAUACACACCAAAAACACACAGGGAAGGUGUCUGCUGAGACAGUGAGGAGUUAACUUCCCAUGCCAAGCUCUAAAUGAUGAAUGAGCAUGAAUAACCUACAUACCAUCCAUCCAGGAGGACAGGAGCACUCUCCAGUGAUGUGGUGGCAGACUCCCCCAUUCUGGCAAGGGCAGCGCAAUUCACACUGAGCUCCGUGACUGCCUGGGGGACAGCGCUCUUCGCAACUUCAAGAAACAAAAAGCAAAGAGAUCAUUUAAAAGAACUUACAGAAAAUAGUAAAUGAGGAAAAUCGACAACACAGGCCAUCAAUGGAGUCCUUAUGCAAAUUAUGAAACCUGAGUAAGCCUUGGCGGGCAUUACCAAUUAGCCAAGAUUUCUUUUAUUUCUGCUGGAGUUAUUUAUGUGCCAUGGAUCCAGCACUCUAAGGCUGAUGCAUGAGUGCAAUAUGUAUGUAGGCACUGAAUGCCACCGAUCUCAAAGGACAACUCACAUCCCUGAAAAUUGUCUAGGUAGCUCCGUUGUGACACUGGCACUGGAACUGACAGCCCUUGCCAUAGCUCCCGGGGUCGCAGAGCUCUUCGCAGCGCCAGCCCUGGUACCCGUCUGCGCAGACACAGGCGCCCGUGAUGGGGUUGCAGAGGGCCUCAUUCUGGCACUGGCAGCGGUUGCUGCAGUGGGGUCCCCAGUGAUCGCUGUCGCAACCUGUAAAACACGUGGGCAGUUACCGAGAUGAUCAGGAACAGGAGGACAGUUUCUCAUCCUUCAGGGAAGAUUGUACUGAUGGUCUCUGAAGUUCAUUGUCUGAAUCAGAUAAGAAACAUGUGGCUGAUUUAGGUCAUGAUUUAAUCUCAGAUGAUGAUCGCAUUAGUCAAUGACUCCCCAACAUGUGGUACCUAAUUCAAUCACACUACUUUUGAGACCCUGCAGUUUGUUUAACAUCCUCUGAGGAAACAUUUUCUUUCCAAAGUAAUCCUUCUUUAAAGAACACUCCCACAGUGUUCUGUAUAAUGAUUAGGACAGUUACCUAGUAGUACAUUUCUUCCUGGACAAAUGAAAACAAAAUCACUCCAAGUAAAGGAAGAGUUGCAUUAUCUCAAUGUCUGCCUGGUCAAAUCCCAUAAUGAAGUCAAUGUAUUUUGAAAGCAGCAAAAUGGAAGAACAUCAUCUACUCCUGACAGA